rnacentral:lncRNA from 1 species
CUUCCCUCCCUUCCCCCUCUCUCUAUUUCUCUCUCUCUCUCUCUCUCUAUUUUCCUCUCUAUAGGAGGGCGGAGCUCUGGAACCCUCGAUAGCCUCCACAGCCUUUGCUUCUCCUUCCCUCCCCCUUUUUUUCUCUUUCCUUCUCUCUCCCCUAUUCCUCACUGGUGUUUUGUUUUGAAUGCCGGAACCAUUCCAGUCGGCCAUCAGUAUGGUUCGGCACAUCGCAAACUAGAUGGUUCGGGAUGGUUUGGCAAACUUUAGUCUGUAAAAAGGGUCAGGCAAAAGGUGAUGUAUGUUUUUUUUUUCUCCUUGUAUGUGUGAAAGGAAUUGAAGGUUUGAGGC